GACGAACGCUGGCGGCGUGCCUAAUACAUGCAAGUCGAACGCAGUGGGGACGGGUGCGUAACACGUGGGUAACCUCCCAUCAGAGGGGAUAACACUUGGAAACAGGUGCUAAACCGCUACCGAUGGAUUGAUCCGCGGUGCAUUAGCUAGUUGGUGAGGUAGCGGCUCAACAAGGCCACGAUUCAUGACCAACCUGAGAGGGUGUUCGGCAACACGGGGACGGAGACAAGGCCGAGACACCUGCGGUAGGAAGCAGUAGGGAAUCUUCGGCAAUGGACGAAAGUCUGACCGAGCAACGCCGCGUGAGUGAAGAAGGUUUUCGGGUGGUAAAGCUCUGUUGUUAGGGAAGCGGUAUCUAACCAGAAAGCCACGGCUAACUACGUGCCAGCAGCCGCGGUAAUUC
rnacentral:rRNA from 1 species